rnacentral:ncRNA from 1 species
AAGUUAUCAAGAAAGGCAGAGGGAAUAGACCCGGUGAAGCCUUAGCAACCCUCCGUGCCUGAAGCGGAGAAGGUGCUAAAUUCUACCCCUGUGGCGACAUGGGGACAGAUGACGC